GCCUUCGUGGUAUAAUGGUCAGCACACUCGGCGCGUAUUCCAGAGGUCCGUGGUUCGAGUCCCGGUGAGGGCA
rnacentral:tRNA from 1 species